rnacentral:rRNA from 1 species
AUUGAACGCUGGCGGCAGGCCUAACACAUGCAAGUCGAGCGGAUGACGGGAGCUUGCUCCUUGAUUCAGCGGCGGACGGGUGAGUAAUGCUUAGGAAUCUGCCUGGUAGUGGGGGACAACGUUUCGAAAGGAGCGCUAAUACCGCAUACGUCCUACGGGAGAAAGCAGGGGAUCUUCGGGCCUUGCGCUAUCAGAUGAGCCUAGGUCGGAUUAGCUAGUAGGUGGGGUAAUGGCCCACCUAGGCGACGAUCCGUAACUGGUCUGAGAGGAUGAUCAGUCACACUGGAACUGAGACACGGUCCAGACUCCUACGGGAGGCAGCAGUGGGGAAUAUUGGACAAUGGGCGAAAGCCUGAUCCAGCCAUGCCGCGUGUGUGAAGAAGGUCUUCGGAUUGUAAAGCACUUUAAGUUGGGAGGAAGGGCAGUAAGCUAAUACCUUGCUGUUUUGACGUUACCGACAGAAUAAGCACCGGCUAACUCUGUGCCAGCAGCCGCCGUAACAC